rnacentral:rRNA from 1 species
AGAGAGAGACAUGCGCGCAUAUCAAUAAGCGGAGGAAAAGAAACUAACAAGGAUUCCCUUAGUAACGGCGAGUGAAGCGGGAAGAGCUCAAAUUUGAAAUCUUCAAGGUUCUACCUUGACGAAUUGUAGUUUAUAGAAGUGUUUUCUGUUAGUGGAGUGGCAAAAGUUCUUUGGAAUAGGACAUCAUAGAGGGUGAGAAUCCCGUAUUUGGUCAUUCCUCCUAGCGUUGUGAUACACUUUCAACGAGUCGGAUUGUUUGGGAAUGCAGUCCAAAAUGGGUGGUAAAUUUCAUCUAAAGCUAAAUAUUGGCGAGAGACCGAUAGCGAACAAGUACCGUGAGGGAAAGAUGAAAAGAACUUUGAAAAGAGAGUUAAACAGUACGUGAAAUUGUCAAAAGGGAAGCGUUUGACACCAGUGUUGUUUUUCCGAAAAUCAAUUACGAAUGUUUUAUUUUUGAGGAGUUAUGACUUCAUCGGCUUGCUCCUUUCUUUAUGAAACUUUCUUAAUGCACUUUCGGUUAACAAGUCAACAUCAAUUGUUUUUGUUGUAAAAGGGUAUGAGGAAGGUGGCUUUCUUUUCGGAGAAAGUGUUUAUAGCCUUGUGCCAUCUGCAAUCGGAGAGAUUGAGGUCUAGCAGCGUAGAUCCUUCGGGGUUAGAUACGUUUGUGCUAAGUUAUAGCUUUUCAUAGACAACUUGUUGACUAUGUUUAGUCUUGUAGCUUACUCGCUGACGCUAUUUUACCUACGCUUAGGAUGUUGAUAGUCACAGCGUGUAC